AUGACUCUCUUAAGGUAGC
rnacentral:ncRNA from 3 species